rnacentral:rRNA from 1 species
ACUAGUAAUCGCAGAUCAGAAUGCUGCGGUGAAUGCGUUCCCGGGUCCUGUACACACCGCCCGUCACACCACGGAAGUUGGGGGCGCCCGAAGCCACUUAGCUAACCCUUUUGGGAAGCGAGUGUCGAAGGUGAAAUCAAUAACUGGGGUGAAGUCGUAACAAGGUAAC